GACGAACGCUGGCGGCGUGCCUAAUACAUGCAAGUAGGACGCAGUUGCGAACGGGUGAGUAACGCGUAGGUAACUACCUAUUAGAGGGGGAUAACUAUUGGAAACGAUAGCUAAUACCGCAUACUAGUAGAUGGACCUGCGUUGUAUUAGCUAGUAGGUAGGGUAAUGGCCUACCUAGGCAACGAUACAUAGCCGACAUGCGAGGGUGAUCGGACACACUGGGACUGAGACACGGCCCAGACUCCUACGGGAUGCAGCAGUAGGGAAGCUUCGGCAAUGGGGGGAACCCUGACCGAGCUAAGUCGUUUGAUUGAAGAUGGUUUUGGGAUCGGGAAGCUCCGUGCUGCAGGGACCGGUACGUACCCAGAAAGUGACGGCUAACUACGUGUCAGCAGCCGCGGUAAUAC
rnacentral:rRNA from 1 species